CCUACGGGUGACAGCAGUGAGGAAUAUUGGUCAAUGGGCGCGAGCCUGAACCAGCCAAGUCGCGUGAGGGAAGACGGUCCUAUGGAUUGUAAACCUCUUUUGUCGGGGAGCAAAAGACGCCACGCGUGGCGUUCCGAGAGUACCCGAAGAACAAGCAUCGGCAAACUCCGUGCCAGCAGCCGCGGUAAUACGGAGGAUGCGUGCGUUAUCCGGAUUUAUUGGGUUAAAAGGGCGGGCAGGGGGAAGAUAAAGUCAGCGGUAAAAUUGAGGGGCUCAACCUCGUCGGGCCGUUGAAACUGGUUGUCUAGAGUGAGCGAGAAGUAUGCGGAAUGCGUGGUGUAGCGGUGAAAUGCAUAGAUAUCACGCAGAACUCCGAUUGCGAAGGCAGCAUACCGGCGCUCAACUGACGCUCAUGCACGAAAGUGUGGGUAUCGAACAGGAUUAGAUACCCUUGUAGUC
rnacentral:rRNA from 1 species